AGUUUUGGUCCUAAACUUGCCAUUGUUUUUUAUCAAAAUUAUACAUGCAAGCCUCCACACACCAGUGAGAAUGCCCACACACCCCCAAACAGCAAGCUGGAGCAGGCAUCAGGACACGACACUUUUAGCCGAAAACGCCUUGCUCAUGCCACACCCCCACGGGCCCACAGCAGUAAUUAACAUUAAAACAUGAGCGAAAGCUCGACUUAGUUAUGAUAAAAAUGGCCGGUAAAUUUCGUGCCAGCCACCGCGGUUAUACGAAAGGCCAGAAACAACAGCCAGCGGCGUAAAACGUGGCUCAGGAUAACAAUAACCACUAAAGGAGAACAGCUGCCAAGUUGUAAAACGCUACUGCAUGUUAGAACCACAAUAACACCUUUAACCCCGGCCCCCUCCACGAAAGCUAAGACACAAACUGGGAUUAGAUACCCCACUAUGCCUAGCCAUAAACACAAAUAGUGUAAAUACAACACUAUUCGCCAGAGAACUACAAGCGAAAAGCUAGAAACUCCAAGGACUUGGCGGUGCUUCAUAUCAACCUAGAGGAGCCUGUCCUACAAUCGAUACCCCACGUUUAACCUUACCCCUCCUAGACACUCAGCCUAUAUACCGCCGCCGUCAGCCCACCUUAUGAAAGAAAUAAAGUGAGCAAAAAAGUUAACAACUAAUACGUCAGGUCAAGGUGUAGCACACGGAGCGGCAGAGAUGGGCUACAUUUUUUCAAAGAAAAAAUACGGAUAGAAAACUGAAACAUUACCCCUGAAGGCGGAUUUAGUAGUAAAAUAAAUAAGAAUAAUUAUCUAAAACCUGCU
rnacentral:ncRNA from 1 species